rnacentral:rRNA from 1 species
CCUACGGGUGGCAGCAGUGGGGAAUAUUGGACAAUGGGGGGAACCCUGAUCCAGCCAUGCCGCGUGUGUGAAGAAGGCCCUCGGGUUGUAAAGCACUUUCAGUGAGGAAGAACGCCUGGUGGUUAAUACCCAUCAGGAAAGACAUCACUCACAGAAGAAGCACCGGCUAAUUCCGUGCCAGCAGCCGCGGUAAUACGGAGGGUGCGAGCGUUAAUCGGAAUUACUGGGCGUAAAGCGCGCGUAGGUGGCUUGAUAAGCCGGUUGUGAAAGCCCCGGGCUCAACCUGGGAACGGCAUCCGGAACUGUCAAGCUAGAGUGCAGGAGAGGAAGGUAGAAUUCCCGGUGUAGCGGUGAAAUGCGUAGAGAUCGGGAGGAAUACCAGUGGCGAAGGCGGCCUUCUGGACUGACACUGACACUGAGGUGCGAAAGCGUGGGUAGCAAACAGGAUUGGAUACCCCAGUAGUC